CGCAUCCUUCACAAGAUGAGUGGCGGACGGGUGAGUAACGCGUGAGAAUCUGCCUUCAGGACUGGGACAACCACUGGAAACGGUGGCUAAUACCAGAUAUGCAGUGAGUGAAAAGGUUUAUUCCGCCUGAAGAUGAGCUCGCGUCAGAUUAGCUAGUUGGUGAGGUAACGGCUUACCAAGGCAUUGAUCUGUAGCUGGUCUGAGAGGAUGACCAGCCACACUGGGACUGAGAGACGGCCCAGACUCCUACGGGAGGCAGCAGUGAGGAAUUUUCCGCAAUGGGCGCAAGCCUGACGGAGUAAUACCGCGUGCGGGAGGAAGGUCUAUUGACUGUAAACCGCUUUUAUUAAGAAAGAAUUCUGACGGUACUUAAUGAAUAAGCCUCGGCUAACUCCGUGCCAGCAGCCGCGGUAAUACGGAGGAGGCAAGCGUUAUCCGGAAUUAUUGGGCGUAAAGCGUCCGUAGGUGGUUUUGCAAGUCGGCUGUCAAAGCCCGUGGCUCAACCACGGAAAGGCAGUGGAAACUACAAGACUGGAGUGCAGUAGGGGCAGAGGGAAUUCCCAGUGUAGCGGUGAAAUGCGUAGAGAUUGGGAAGAACACCCGUGGCGAAAGCGCUCUGCUGGACUGCAACUGACACUAAGGGACGAAAGCUAGGGGAGCGAAUGGGAUUAGAUACCCCAGUAGUCCUAGCCGUAAACGAUGGAUACUAGGUG
rnacentral:rRNA from 1 species